UUAAAUAAAAUAAAAUAUUAAUAUCUACCCAUAAAAUAAUUAAUUUAAAAAUUAAGGGUGUUACAAAAGAAUCAUACUACUAAUAUAUGAUUAGUGGACUAAACAACCCAUUUUCUGGCCUAGAGGUAAUUAUAGGUUAUUUUAUUUUUUGCUUAUUUUGUCUCUAAUCAUUUAUAUUGAUAAAAAAAAAGUUCUUAUCCUUUUAGGAGGAUAAGGUUCUUGACUGCUUGUCAUUAUAGUUGUAUCCUUAAUUAUAAAAUGUGAUCUGAUGAGGUAAAGUUCUCUGGGCCUAGACAGGAGGUCUGGGAUUAAAUUGUGUUUCCCUUUUAUGUGCUGGACUGUGAAUUUAUACUUGACGAACCAGUCUUUUAGCCUUAACUUUGUGGUUCUGGAAGUGACUUGUUCUUGAAGUCCAGAAUCUUUGAGAAUGAUGAGCUGUCUAUGAUCAUAGUGAAAUAGUGUCCAAUGAGAUGAAACUCGAACUUUUUGAUACUAUUUUUGACAGCCAUAGUUUCUUUAUACACCGAGUGAUAAUGCUUUUGUGAUUAUGGGAAUUCACCACUAGCAUGUCCACAGAUGUAUUUUUCUCCUUGAAUUUCCUCAAUAAGGACAGCACCCAGUGAGUGUCACUGGCAUUAGUUUGGAGCGUACAAUGUCUUGUACUGGGAAUCUUUAAAGGUGGCAGUUUUGAAGCCACUACUUUAAGAGACUUGACUGCCUCUGUCUAUUCUUUUCUCCAAGGAGGUGCAGUCUUCCUGAGCAUCUUUGAAAGUUUGCAGGUGUGAGUGGUGACAUGAGGAAUAAACUUUCUCAUGUAUUAGAAACUGAAGCUCACAAACAAUGCUUUAUGAUGUUAAUAAUUUUUUUAAUUUUUUAAAUUAGAAAACUGUGGUGAAUGUAUUUCACAUGUUCCUUGAAAUUUUCUUUCAAAAUGUUAAAUAAAAUCUACAAGAAAACAACUAAUUGAAAACGAGUUGACGUGCCAGUAUGGUACUAGGACCAGAUGGGCAAUAAUGAAGUGGCUGACAGCUAAGGAGUGUUUUCAUUGACGAGUAAAGGUCUUGGUCUUCCUUGCAGAUAAUAGAUGCCUUUAAUUUCCACAACCUGCUGUUUAUUUUCAAAAGGAAAUUGUUUCGGUUUUCAUUUCUCUCAUUUGAUCCAAAAAAUCACCUGCUGUUUAUUUUCAAAAGGAAAUUGUUUCGGUUUUCAUUUCUCUCAUUUGAUCCAAAAAAUC
rnacentral:misc_RNA from 1 species